rnacentral:rRNA from 1 species
GCCUACGGGGGGCAGCAGUGAGGAAUAUUGGUCAAUGGGCUUACGCCUGAACCAGCCAAGUCGCGUGAGGGAAGACUGCCCUAUGGGUUGUAAACCUCUUUUGUCAGGGAGCAACACCGGCUACGUGUAGCCGGACUGAGAGUACCUGAAGAAAAAGCAUCGGCUAACUCCGUGCCAGCAGCCGCGGUAAUACGGAGGAUGCGAGCGUUAUCCGGAUUUAUUGGGUUUAAAGGGUGCGUAGGCGGAAUGCCAAGUCGGCGGUAAAAUCGCGGGGCUCAACCUCGCUCCGCCGUUGAAACUGGCGU